rnacentral:rRNA from 1 species
AGCGUAGACGGAUGGACAAGUCUGAUGUGAAAGGCUGGGGCUCAACCCCGGGACUGUAUUGGAAACUGCCCGUCUUGAGUGCCGGAGAGGUAAGCGGAAUUCCUAGUGUAGCGGUGAAAUGCGUAGAUAUUAGGAGGAACACCAGUGGCGAAGGCGGCUUACUGGACGGUAACUGACGUUGAGGCUCGAAAGCGUGGGGAGCAAACA